AAGAGCCAUCUGUGAGAUUUUUCUUCAUCUCUCUCUCUCUCUCUCUCUCUCUCUCUCUCUCACCCAUAUUGGUUUUUGAUGUUCAUGAUCUCUUAUGAGUGUUACAAGAGUUCUUCAGUAUAUUUAGGGUUUGACAGUGAUCUUCAUUUUCUUUUUUCACCACAGAUCUGUUUAAAGUUGUGCUAUGACUCAUAUUAAAGAUACCCAUGAAAGCUUCAAAUUGGAAACACUGUUUUGUUUUUGUUUCAUGUAAAUGCUGCUGAUCUAAGAUUAAAGGAUGAAGACAAAGGCCAAGCAUGAGAUGAUAGAGACAACAGCUUCUUGGGUCUUGCCCAUUUACUGCAACAAUUUCCUAGACAUGUUCAGGUGGUGCAAUUACCAAAAUAUCCUCCUCCAAGACUCAAAAUGUGUUAUAGUAUAUGUAGAGUAAUGUCAAGAGGUCUUCCCCUUCAUUUUGGUUUUCUUUUCUUUUUCUAUCAGUCGUUUGUUUAGAUCUUCAAAUUUAUGAAUGGGUUACUCUCUCA